AUGUACUGUGAAAGGACGAUUUGAGGAGCAUCUCUGAUUAGCAGCAGGUUUAUUAUUCUUUCCUCAUUUCAUGUUAUACUUAGUAAAACAAACCAUACUUGUAUAUACACACAUUCACUCACACUGAAGAUGCAAGAUGAAGAAAGAUACAUGACAUUGAAUAUACAGUCAAAGAAAAGGAGUUCUACCCAAACAGCUCAACUUACAUUUAAAGAUUAUUCAGUGGUGUUGCACUGGUAUAAAAUCUUACUGGGAAUAUCUGGAACCAUUAAUGGUAUUCUGGCUUUGACUUUGAUCUCCCUGAUCCUAUUGGUUUCUCAGGGAGUAUUGCUAAAAUGCCAAAAAGGAAGUCAUUCAAAUACCACCGAGCAUGAGGAUACUGGAGACCUAAAAAUGAAUAACGGCACAAGAAGAAAUGCAAGUAAUAAGGACCUUUGUGUUUCGAGAUCUGCAGACCAGACAGGCUUUUAUACAGAAAAACCUAAGACAAUCAAACUACGUAUGGAUGGGGCUUAACUUUACUGCAUUGAAAAUGACAUGGACUUGGGUGGAUGGUUCUCCACUAGAUCCAAAGAUAUUCUUCAUAAAGGGACCAACUAAAGAAAACAGCUGUGCUGCCAUUAAGGAAAGCAAAAUUUACUCUGAAACCUGCAGCAGUGUUUUCAAAUGGAUUUGUCAGUAUUAGAGUUUGACAAAAUUCACAGUGAAAUAAUCAGUGAUCGCUAUAUUUGGCCUAUUAGUUUCUAAUAUUAAUCUCCAGGCGUAAGAUUUUAAAGUGCAAUUAAAUGCCAAAAUCUCUCUUCUCCCUCCAUCAUUGACACUGGUCUAGCCUCAGAGUAACCCGUUAACAAACUAAAAUGUACCCUUCAAAAUUUUUACCUGAUAGUAUAAACCAAUGUGACUUCAUGUGAUCAUAUCCAGGAUUUUUAUUCAUUGUUUAUUUUAUGCCAAAUGUGAUCAAAUUAUGCCUGCUUUUCUGUAUCUUGCAUUUUAAAUUCUUAAUAAUGUCCUAAGCAAAAUUUCUUAUUUCUAAGGGUUGAAAUAUAAUGUGGAUUUAUACAUUUUUUACCCUUUUAUCAAAGAGAAUUAACUUUGUUUCCAGGCUUUUGAUACUCUGCACUCAGCUACAAUAAACAUCCUGAAUGUUUUCUUAAAUAGUAACACCUUUAUUUCUAUGAUACAAGCCCUAAAAGUAGAAUUUCUAGGUAAAAGUGUUAAAUGUGCUGUUUUAUAUUUUGUAUAAUUUUUAUAUUUUGCACUUUUGUUUCCAAAUUUGGAAGCUUUCAGACUUAUAAGAAGAUAUUAGGUGCAGAAAAAGAACAUACUGCUUUUCUUGAACCUCUUGAGAAUUACUUGCCAAAUUGAUGCAUUUUGUUAUAACAUUUCAUUUGUUAUUAGAUACUUUUCGUGUAUUUCCUUCCAAAAAAGGGGCUUUCUCCUACAUAACCACAAUAAAAUUAUGAAAAUCAGCAAAUGUACACUGACAUAGAACUAUCAUCUAAUUCCCAAAUUUCCUUCAAGGUUUGCUAUUUGUCAAAAUAAUGUUUUUAGAGUAAAAGCAUCCAGCUCAGAAUCAAUGUCUACAUCUGGUGACUGUAUCUCUUUAGCCUCCUUCAAUACGGAAGAGUGCGUGAAUCUUCCUUGACAUUCAUGACCUUGACACUUUUGAAUACUACACGUUGAUUAUUUCGUAAAAUGUCCUUCAACUGAAAUAUUCUGAUUGUUUCUCAUGGUUAGAUUCCAGUUUUAUCUUCUUGGCAGAAAUGGCAUAGAAGUGAUGUAGUGAAGCUUGGUCUCUGAAUCCUUUCAGGUGGUACACAGUUUUAUUUGUUCCAUUAUUGAUUAUAUUUAUUUCAUUCACAUGAUUGAUGUAAUUUCUGCUUGAAUUCACUGUAAAGUUAUUAUUUUCUCAUUGUAAUUAAUGCAUAUUUUGGGGAAGUGACUGAGAUGGCCUUAAUAUCCCCUUCAGCUUGGGGCUAAAUUCUUCUUUUUUUUAAUACUUUCAGUUCUGGGGUACAUGUGCAGAAUGUGUAGGUUUGUUACACAGGUAUACACGUGCCAUGGUGGUUUGCUGCACCCAUCAACCUGUCAUCCACAUUAGUUAUUUCUCCUAAUGCUAUCCCUCUGGAUAACAAGAACUCAGAAAUAAUGUACAGAGUUAUGAUCUAAUAACAGGUGUAUUCUAGCUUUUUCCCCCCAGAAACCUAACUUCUUUUCUACAUUCAUUAUACAGAAAUACCAGAUUUUAAAGCCUCUUGAGGCUGGAAAGCCAAACCAAGACAAACUUUAGAUUUUAUCUAUAGUAUUAAGGUCUUUGGAACUUCUAGGAAGUAACAGUUUUUAUUUACUCAUUGUAAGGCUGUGAACCUUCAAAGUUAAGCAUGUUAUGUAUAUUGUUAAAUAUGACAUUUUAGUCAAAGCCUUAGUAAUGUAACCAAUGUUUUUAAUUGUAUUCUGCUAUUAAGAGAGAGCAGAAUUUUAUUGGACUUAUGGAAAUAACUUUACGUAAAUAACCAUAUUGUCAUAAGAAUACUAAAAAGUACAUUUGAAAUUUUGAAAGAAUCAAGGAGGAAAAAUACCAAAUGGUUUUAUCUUUUUUCACAAAAGUAUAUUUUAUCAAAUUACCAUAAAUUAUAGAUCGCUCAAGAGAGAAAAUGACUUUACACUUGAAAGACAAAACGUUUGAGUAAAGGACCAACAACGUUUUAAAUAAACGUCACAAAAACAUGAUCAGU